rnacentral:rRNA from 1 species
UACGUAGGUGGCAAGCGUUGUCCGGAAUCACUGGGCGUAAAGCGCGCGCAGGCGGCGAUCUACGUCUGGGGUGAAAGCCCGGAGCUCAACUCCGGGACUACCUUGGAUACGGGAUCGCUUGAGGAUUGGAGAGGCAAGGGGAAUUCCACGUGUAGCGGUGAAAUGCGUAGAUAUGUGGAGGAACACCUGUGGCGAAGGCGCCUUGCUGGCCAAUUUCUGACGCUGAGGCGCGAAAGCGUGGGGAGCAAACAGG